rnacentral:rRNA from 1 species
AUGUGGGUGGUGCUGCGGCGUUCGGCCGUUCGGCCGAGCCAGAUUCUCCGGAAACCCACUCGCAGAAAGAGGAGGGAAAAAGGAGUGGAUUCCUCGGAACCUAGCAACCGCACCUCCCCCAAAACUCAGCAGCGACCCUCCGCCGUCGCGCGGCGCGCCGGCAAUGGAGGAUGCGGCGGUUCGCCCGUCCAAGCAGGCGAAAGCCGAAGGGGCCGACCUCAUCAGCCUCCUCCCCGACAGUAUUCUCUCCGAGGUCAUCACCCGCCUCCCAUCAAGGACGCCGCGCGCACCACCGCCCUCGCCCGCCGGUGGCGCCCCCUCUGGCGCGCCUCCCCGCUCAACCUCGACGACGCCCGCCUCCCCAGACGGUCCUGGGACUGCAUCUCCAAGAUCCUCGCCGAGCACCGCGGCCCCGGCCGCCGCCUCCGCCUCCGCCACCUCGACGGCCCCAACAGCAUCGCCGAUCUCGCGGAGUGGAUCAGGUCCCCCGCCCUCGACGGCCUCGAGGAGAUCCAUAUCUCUUACCGUUACGACCUCCUGCUGCCGCCGUGCGCCCUCCGCUUCGCGCCGACCCUCCGCGUCGCCAGCUUCGCCCGCUGCCGUUUCCCCGAGCACAUUUCCCCGACCCUCGCAUUCCCGCAUUUGACGCGGCUCGCCCUCACCGAGGUCGAGACCUCCGAGGACGCCCUCCACGCCCUGCUCGCCGCCUGUUCCGCGCUCAGGGUGCUCCAGCUGGAUUGGUGCGGCGGCUUCGACCGAGUGGUCAUCGACUCGCCGACUCUCCAGAGCUUCGGCAUUGUCGCGGACAGCUACGUGGGCGAGCUGGUCAUACAGUAUGCCCCUCGCCUGGAGAGAUUGAUUGCAUUUGAUAAUUUCGACAUCCAUGUCAUCACAGCGCCUAGACUGCAUAUGGUGUGCUUUCUGGAUAGCCACAAGACUACACUCCAUGUUGGAACCAUGGCUUCUCGGGGAAUUUCUGGUGGAAACUUGGCAAUGUCACUGCGCAGUGUGAAGAUUUUCAUUCUUGAUACUGUUGGUCCUGAUCUUGAUGCAGUUCUAAACUUCAUCAAAUACUUUCCUUGCUUGGAGAAGCUCGUCAUCACGUUAUACCUGGAAGUUGAUAUGAAAAAGAAAAAUGUACGCCUUCUCGACCCACAAGAUCGCAUUGAAUGUCUUGACCUCAGUCUCAAAGAAGUAGUGCUGAAGGGUUACGAGGGCAAGCGGUCGGAUCUAAACUUUGCCAAGUUCUUUGUUCUGAAUGCUAAGGUGCUUGAGUCAAUGGAACUCCGGGUUCAGGAUAACACAUUCACCAGGAGAUGGGAAACUAAUCAGUGUAGGCGGCUAAACUGGAUAGCAGGGCUUCUAGAAAUGCUCGGUUUGAGUUUGGAGAAGCUUAUCCGUUUACUACAUUUGCAUGCAGCAAGCAUGCUCAUGUUUUGA